CCUACGGGAGGCAGCAGUGAGGAAUAUUGGUCAAUGGCCGGAAGGCUGAACCAGCCAAGUCGCGUGAAGGACGAAGGUGCCAAGCAUUGUAAACUUCUUUUGUCAAGGGACAAAAUCAGGCUCGAGAGCCUGACCGAGGGUACUUGAAGAAAAAGCAUCGGCUAACUCCGUGCCAGCAGCCGCGGUAAUACGGAGGAUGCGAGCGUUAUCCGGAUUUACUGGGUGUAAAAGGGGCGCAGGCGGCGAUGAAAGCCAGGCGUGAAAGCCCGGGGCCCAACCCCGGGAAUGCACAUGGAACUGCGUGGCUGGAGUGCAGGAGGGGCAGGCGGAAUUCCUGGUGUAGCGGUGAAAUGCGUAGAUAUCAGGAGGAACACCGGUGGCGAAGGCGGCCUGCUGGACUGCAACUGACGUUGAGGCCCGAAAGCGUGGGGAGCAAACAGGAUUAGAUACCCCGGUAGUC
rnacentral:rRNA from 1 species